rnacentral:rRNA from 1 species
UACGGAGGAUCCAAGCGUUAUCCGGAUUUAUUGGGUUUAAAGGGUGCGUAGGCGGCCUAUUAAGUCAGGGGUGAAAGACGGUAGCUUAACUAUCGCAGUGCCCUUGAUACUGAUGGGCUUGAAUGUACUAGAGGUAGGCGGAAUGUGACAAGUAGCGGUGAAAUGCAUAGAUAUGUCACAGAACACCAAUUGCAAGGCGCUUACUAUGGUAUGAUUGACGCUG